AACGAACGCUGGCGGCAUGCCUAACACAUGCAAGUCGAACGAGACCUUCGGGUCUAGUGGCGCACGGGUGCGUAACGCGUGGGAACCUGCCCUUAGGUUCGGAAUAACUCCCCGAAAGGGGUGCUAAUACCGGAUAAUGUCUUCGGACCAAAGAUUUAUCGCCUUUGGAUGGGCCCGCGUUGGAUUAGCUAGUUGGUAGGGUAAAAGCCUACCAAGGCGACGAUCCAUAGCUGGUCUGAGAGGAUGAUCAGCCACACUGGGACUGAGACACGGCCCAGACUCCUACGGGAGGCAGCAGUGGGGAAUAUUGGACAAUGGGCGAAAGCCUGAUCCAGCAAUGCCGCGUGAGUGAUGCAGGCCUUAGGGUUGUAAAGCUCUUUUACCCGGGAUGAUAAUGACAGUACCGGGAGAAUAAGCUCCGGCUAACUCCGUG
rnacentral:rRNA from 1 species